rnacentral:rRNA from 1 species
GGUUAACGCUGGCGGCGUGCCUAACACAUGCAAGUCGAACGGUUCUAAGCGCGAGCUUAGGAUAGUGGCGAACGGGUGAGUAAAAGGUAGGAAUCUACCCCUUGGACGGAGAUAGCUACUGGAAACGGUAGGUAAACUUCGAUAAGCCCGAGAGGGGAAAGUGGUGAGACAGCCGAGGGAUGAGCCUACUCUCCAUCAGGUAGUUGGUGAGAUAAAAGCUUACCAAGCUGAUGACGGAUAACCGGUGUGAGAGCAUGAACGGUCACAAGGGCACUGAGAGACGGGCCCUACUCCUACGGGAGGCAGCAGUGGGGAAUCUUGGACAAUGGGCGAAAGCCUGAUCCAGCGACGCCGCGUGGAGGAAGAAGUCCUUCGGGAUGUAAACUUCUGAACUAGCCGAAUAAAAGGCCUGUGGACACACAGGAGAAGAAAGUAGGACGUAAGGAAAGUCCCGGACUAACUACGUG